rnacentral:rRNA from 1 species
AGCAGUGGGGAAUCUUGGACAAUGGGGGAAACCCUGAUCCAGCGAUGCCGCGUGUGUGAAGAAGGCCUUAGGGUUGUAAAGCACUUUAGUGGGGGAGGAGUAGGCGUUGUUUCAUAGACGACGUUGAGGACGUUACCCCAAGAAUAAGCACCGGCUAACUCUGUGCCAGCAGCCGCGGUAAUACAGAGGGUGCGAGCGUUAAUCGGAAUUAUUGGGCGUAAAGGGAGCGUAGGCGGAUGUGCAAGUGGUAGGUGAAAGACCUGGGCUUAACCUGGGAGAGUCCUAUCAGACUGCACGUCUAGAGUGAGGUAGAGGAAGGUGGAAUUCCUGGUGUAGCGGUGAAAUGCGUAGAUAUCAGGAAGAACAUCGAUGGCGAAGGCAACCUUCUGGGCCUAUACUGACGCUGAGGCUCGAAAGCGUGGGGAGCAAACAGGAUUAGAUACCCUGGUAGUCCACGCCGUAAACGAUGAAAACUAGAUGUCUGGUGACUUAGUCAUUGGGUAUCGCAGC